GGGUUGUGAGGUUAAGCGACUAAGCGUACACGGUGGAUGCCCUGGCAGUCAGAGGCGAUGAAGGACGUGCUAAUCUGCGAUAAGCGUCGGUGAGGUGAUAUGAACCGUUAUAACCGGCGAUUUCCGAAUGGGGAAACCCAGUGUGAUUCGUCACACUAUCAUUAACUGAAUCCAUAGGUUAAUGAGGCGAACCGGGGGAACUGAAACAUCUAAGUACCCCGAGGAAAAGAAAUCAACCGAGAUUCCCCCAGUAGCGGCGAGCGAACGGGGAGGAGCCCAGAGCCUGAAUCAGUGUGUGUGUUAGUGGAAGUGUCUGGAAAGGCGCGCGAUACAGGGUGACAGCCCCGUACACAAAAAUGCACAUAUUGUGAGCUCGAUGAGUAGGGCGGGACACGUGGUAUCCUGUCUGAAUAUGGGGGGACCAUCCUCCAAGGCUAAAUACUCCUGACUGACCGAUAGUGAACCAGUACCGUGAGGGAAAGGCGAAAAGAACCCCGGCGAGGGGAGUGAAAAAGAACCUGAAACCGUGUACGUACAAGCAGUGGGAGCCUCUUAAUGGGGUGACUGCGUACCUUUUGUAUAAUGGGUCAGCGACUUAUAUUCUGUAGCAAGGUUAACCGAAUAGGGGAGCCGAAGGGAAACCGAGUCUUAACUGGGCGUUAAGUUGCAGGGUAUAGACCCGAAACCCGGUGAUCUAGCCAUGGGCAGGUUGAAGGUUGGGUAACACUAACUGGAGGACCGAACCGACUAAUGUUGAAAAAUUAGCGGAUGACUUGUGGCUGGGGGUGAAAGGCCAAUCAAACCGGGAGAUAGCUGGUUCUCCCCGAAAGCUAUUUAGGUAGCGCCUCGUGAAUUCAUCUCCGGGGGUAGAGCACUGUUUCGGCAAGGGGGUCAUCCCGACUUACCAACCCGAUGCAAACUGCGAAUACCGGAGAAUGUUAUCACGGGAGACACACGGCGGGUGCUAACGUCCGUCGUGAAGAGGGAAACAACCCAGACCGCCAGCUAAGGUCCCAAAGUCAUGGUUAAGUGGGAAACGAUGUGGGAAGGCCCAGACAGCCAGGAUGUUGGCUUAGAAGCAGCCAUCAUUUAAAGAAAGCGUAAUAGCUCACUGGUCGAGUCGGCCUGCGCGGAAGAUGUAACGGGGCUAAACCAUGCACCGAAGCUGCGGCAGCGACACUAUGUGUUGUUGGGUAGGGGAGCGUUCUGUAAGCCUGUGAAGGUGUACUGUGAGGUAUGCUGGAGGUAUCAGAAGUGCGAAUGCUGACAUAAGUAACGAUAAAGCGGGUGAAAAGCCCGCUCGCCGGAAGACCAAGGGUUCCUGUCCAACGUUAAUCGGGGCAGGGUGAGUCGACCCCUAAGGCGAGGCCGAAAGGCGUAGUCGAUGGGAAACAGGUUAAUAUUCCUGUACUUGGUGUUACUGCGAAGGGGGGACGGAGAAGGCUAUGUUGGCCGGGCGACGGUUGUCCCGGUUUAAGCGUGUAGGCUGGUUUUCCAGGCAAAUCCGGAAAAUCAAGGCUGAGGCGUGAUGACGAGGCACUACGGUGCUGAAGCGACAAAUGCCCUGCUUCCAGGAAAAGCCUCUAAGCAUCAGGUAACAUUAAAUCGUACCCCAAACCGACACAGGUGGUCAGGUAGAGAAUACCAAGGCGCUUGAGAGAACUCGGGUGAAGGAACUAGGCAAAAUGGUGCCGUAACUUCGGGAGAAGGCACGCUGAUAUGUAGGUGAAGCGACUUGCUCGUGGAGCUGAAAUCAGUCGAAGAUACCAGCUGGCUGCAACUGUUUAUUAAAAACACAGCACUGUGCAAACACGAAAGUGGACGUAUACGGUGUGACGCCUGCCCGGUGCCGGAAGGUUAAUUGAUGGGGUUAGCGGUAACGCGAAGCUCUUGAUCGAAGCCCCGGUAAACGGCGGCCGUAACUAUAACGGUCCUAAGGUAGCGAAAUUCCUUGUCGGGUAAGUUCCGACCUGCACGAAUGGCGUAAUGAUGGCCAGGCUGUCUCCACCCGAGACUCAGUGAAAUUGAACUCGCUGUGAAGAUGCAGUGUACCCGCGGCAAGACGGAAAGACCCCGUGAACCUUUACUAUAGCUUGACACUGAACAUUGAGCCUUGAUGUGUAGGAUAGGUGGGAGGCUUUGAAGUGUGGACGCCAGUCUGCAUGGAGCCGACCUUGAAAUACCACCCUUUAAUGUUUGAUGUUCUAACGUGGGCCCCUUACCGGGGUUGCGGACAGUGUCUGGUGGGUAGUUUGACUGGGGCGGUCUCCUCCUAAAGAGUAACGGAGGAGCACGAAGGUUGGCUAAUCCUGGUCGGACAUCAGGAGGUUAGUGCAAUGGCAUAAGCCAGCUUGACUGCGAGCGUGACGGCGCGAGCAGGUGCGAAAGCAGGUCAUAGUGAUCCGGUGGUUCUGAAUGGAAGGGCCAUCGCUCAACGGAUAAAAGGUACUCCGGGGAUAACAGGCUGAUACCGCCCAAGAGUUCAUAUCGACGGCGGUGUUUGGCACCUCGAUGUCGGCUCAUCACAUCCUGGGGCUGAAGUAGGUCCCAAGGGUAUGGCUGUUCGCCAUUUAAAGUGGUACGCGAGCUGGGUUUAGAACGUCGUGAGACAGUUCGGUCCCUAUCUGCCGUGGGCGCUGGAGAACUGAGGGGGGCUGCUCCUAGUACGAGAGGACCGGAGUGGACGCAUCACUGGUGUUCGGGUUGUCAUGCCAAUGGCACUGCCCGGUAGCUAAAUGCGGAAGAGAUAAGUGCUGAAAGCAUCUAAGCACGAAACUUGCCCCGAGAUGAGUUCUCCCUGACUCCUUGAGAGUCCUGAAGGAACGUUGAAGACGACGACGUUGAUAGGCCGGGUGUGUAAGCGCAGCGAUGCGUUGAGCUAACCGGUACUAAUGAACCGUGAGGCUUAACCUUACAACGCCGAAG
rnacentral:rRNA from 1 species